rnacentral:ncRNA from 2 species
GGAUUGAGUAGAAGCGGCUAGCGGUCGGUAGAACGGACACUUACCUUCCUGCGGGGCAUUGCUCGUGAU